rnacentral:rRNA from 1 species
GAAUUGAUCUGGUUCAGGACGAACGCUGGCGGCGUGCUUAACACAUGCAAGUCGAACGAGCCUACUGGAGCAGCAAUGGUCCGGUAAGCGAGUGGCGGACGGGUGAGUAACGCGUGAGCAAUCUGUCCAUGCGAGGGGGAUAACAUUUGGAAACAGAUGCUAAUACCGCAUAAGACCACGAGGCCGCAUGGCCAUGGGGUCAAAGGAGCGAUCCGCGCAUGGGUGAGCUCGCGUCCCAUUAGAUAGUUGGUGAGGUAACGGCCCACCAAGUCGACGAUGGGUAGCCGAUCUGAGAGGAUGACCGGCCACAUUGGAACUGAGAAACGGUCCAAACUCCUACGGGAGGCAGCAGUGGGGAAUAUUGGGCAAUGGGCGCAAAGCCUGACCCAGCAACGCCGCGUGAGGGAAGAAGGUUUUCGGAUUGUAAACCUCUAUCGUCGGGGACGAGGAAGAGACGAUACCCGGCAAGGAAGCUCCGGCUAACUACGUGCCAGCAGCAGC